GUCGUACGCUUCUUUUUCCACCGGAGCUUGCUCCACCGGAAAAAGAAGAGUGGCGAACGGGUGAGUAACACGUGGGUAACCUGCCCAUCAGAAGGGGAUAACACUUGGAAACAGGUGCUAAUACCGUAUAACAAUCGAAACCGCAUGGUUUUGAUUUGAAAGGCGCUUUCGGGUGUCGCUGAUGGAUGGACCCGCGGUGCAUUAGCUAGUUGGUGAGGUAACGGCUCACCAAGGCCACGAUGCAUAGCCGACCUGAGAGGGUGAUCGGCCACAUUGGGACUGAGACACGGCCCAAACUCCUACGGGAGGCAGCAGUAGGGAAUCUUCGGCAAUGGACGAAAGUCUGACCGAGCAACGCCGCGUGAGUGAAGAAGGUUUUCGGAUCGUAAAACUCUGUUGUUAGAGAAGAACAAGGAUGAGAGUAACUGUUCAUCCCUUGACGGUAUCUAACCAGAAAGCCACGGCUAACUACGUGCCAGCAGCCGCGGUAAUACGUAGGUGGCAAGCGUUGUCCGGAUUUAUUGGGCGUAAAGCGAGCGCAGGCGGUUUCUUAAGUCUGAUGUGAAAGCCCCCGGCUCAACCGGGGAGGGUCAUUGGAAACUGGGAGACUUGAGUGCAGAAGAGGAGAGUGGAAUUCCAUGUGUAGCGGUGAAAUGCGUAGAUAUAUGGAGGAACACCAGUGGCGAAGGCGGCUCUCUGGUCUGUAACUGACGCUGAGGCUCGAAAGCGUGGGGAGCAAACAGGAUUAGAUACCCUGGUAGUCCACGCCGUAAACGAUGA
rnacentral:rRNA from 1 species